CCUACGGGUGGCAGCAGUGAGGAAUAUUGGUCAAUGGUCGGGAGACUGAACCAGCCAAGUCGCGUGAGGGAGGAAGGUUCUGUGUAUCGUAAACCUCUUUUGUAAGGGAAUAAAGACCGGGACGUGUCCCGGGUUGUAUGUACCUGAAGAAAAAGCAUCGGCUAACUCCGUGCCAGCAGCCGCGGUAAUACGGAGGAUGCGAGCGUUAUCCGGAUUUAUUGGGUUUAAAGGGUGCGUAGGCGGCCUUUUAAGUCAGCGGUGAAAGUCCGUGGCUCAACCAUGGAAUUGCCGUUGAAACUGGGAGGCUCGAGUAUGAUGGAGGUAGGCGGAAUGCGCGGUGUAGCGGUGAAAUGCUUAGAUAUCACGCAGAACCCCGAUUGCGAAGGCAGCAUGCCAAGCCAUGACUGACGCUGAUGCACGAAAGCGUGGGGAUCAAACAGGAUUAGAUACCCGAGUAGUC
rnacentral:rRNA from 1 species